CGUCAACCACGAAUAUUAAAUGGAUAUGCAAACCACAGCUUUGAAAUAAGACACUAUAAAAUGUCAAGGGAAUUAUCUGGUACCAGUAUGGCAUUUUAUAUCUGUUAAUGAGGUCACUUAUAAACUGAGAAGCUUUUGCCAUGUAUGAGGAGACUCACCUGAAAGAACCUGAGACAUCAAGUGUCCUAGACAGAGAGUGGCUGGAAACACACUUCGCUCCAGAAAGUGGAACAAGUACACACACACAGCAAUGAAAGGUCCGUGUUUGAGGGAAAACAUCUCCAAGCUCUUUCUCCUUUUCCCGCCUCUUCAACAGCGACUCUUCAGAAAAAGAUGAAAGGCAAGAUGGGAAGCUCCACAAAAGACACCUAGGAAAAAAAAAAAUCCUCCUUCCUGAUCAUAAGCUUUCACUUACUGACAAGAAGAAAGCCUGCCUGCUGAUGUCAGCAAAGCAACACUGGCCUCUGCUCCCACACUGUUCUGAGAUAUCGGAUCCAGGUCCUCUAUAUAAAAGUAAGUGGAACAGCCAAAGGAUUGUGUUUUACCUUAUAGAACCUUCCAUUUGAUUUCAAAGUCUGGAAGUAGGGCUUCCUUGAGCUUGGGAAAUUGUCGUGUGUGUGUUUUGUAAAGUAGCUAUCAGAAAAAAGCACUGCCGAUCAUUGAAGUUUAUUGGGUGUCCAAAAAAAGACUCAUUGCUGACAAGUACUCCAGGCAGCCAACUUCUUUUUUUUUUUUUUUUUUUUUUUUUUUUUUUUGGUGCACAGAUGACAUUAAACAGCCCCUGGACAUUCAGCACAUGAAGUGAAUUCAGAGUGAAGUUAGUUUGGGGAACACGUCUCAUAAACAUAUUUAUUAUUUAUGUAGUUUACAUAAAGUGAUUUCCCUGCCUUUAAACACCAUCUCGGAUGCAUGUGUAUAACAUAUAUGUGGCAAUUCAUCAUCUAUUCCCUUAGGAUAUCUUUGUAAUUGCUACCUUAGAC
rnacentral:lncRNA from 9 species